UUCGGGGAUAAACGCUAUUAAAAACCAAGCUUCUGAGACUGGAAAGGCAGUAAUAAAUGAGUUUGGUCGAAAACCUUUAAGAACUAUUAUCCAAGAACAAAGUAAAAUUGCUUUGCAAAACCUGUCAAAUAAAGCCAUUAAUAAGUUAACCCGAUUCCAGAAUGGGGCAGGUAAAAAGAAUAAAAAGAGAAGGUCUAGGAAAAAACUAUCUCAUUUAUCAUCUAAAGAAGGAAGAAAACAUACGCAGUCGAGACCCAAAAAAAAAAAUCAACAAAGAAAUUAACUAUAAGAGACAUUUUUUCUAAAUCAAAAUGACCACCCAUAUUGAAUGUAUGAAAAGCGAAUUGGAUCUCUUUGAGCCACACCCUACACAAAGCUCUAUUCUGAGAACAGAAGAAGUUUCAUAUAACCCCAUAGCUUCGUUGGACAGUGCUUCUUCAAUUUAAUUCGUUUGCUUAGGAAAUGGGGAAACAUAUCGAGACCUAUCAAGUGUUUACUUAAGACUUGUUGUGCAACUAAGAAAAAGUGAUAAUACCAACAUUGAAGGAAACGAUGUUGGAGUAGUGAAUAAUAUUUUGCAUUCAAUGUUUAGAAAUCGUAUUUGCAAACGAUUUUAAACUAUGGUAGUGAUGCCAGUGAAAGUCACUUAGCCACUCAAGGUUAUUAUCCUAAUUAUGAUAAAUUAAUAUCUGGUAGAUACGUUAACACCGAUGGAUCCAUUAUGCUCAAAAAUAUUUUUCAAAACAGUAAUAAGGUUGAACUAUUCGGAAAAGUUCAUGGAGAUAUAUUUAAUCAACCAAAACUGCUUAUAAAUAAUGUAGAUUUGAGGAUUACUUUUAACAUU